rnacentral:lncRNA from 1 species
UAGUCAUCAAGAGUUCAUAUAACUAGACCUGUCUUGGAGCAAUUUUUAUCUUUUGCAAAAUACCUUGAUGGUUUAUCUCAUGGAGUACCUUUGCUGAAGCAGCUUUGUGAUCAUAUUUUGUUUAUUAACCCAGCCAUCUGGAUACAUACACCUGCAAAGACGGAGUUUCACUCUCAUUGCCCAGGCUGGAGAGCAAUGGCGCGAUCUCGGCUCACCGCAAUCUCCGCCUCCCUGGUUCAGCCCAUUCUCCUCCGUCAGCCUCCCGAGUAGCUGGGAUUACAGGUUCAACUUUCCCUAUAUACAUAUUUGUCUGCUGAAUUUAUUGGAACUGCUACCAUCUACACCACCAUAUGCAGAAUAGGAACAGUUAUUAAAGAUAAUGCACACCUUAAAAUAUUACUACUGGGUUAUUAAUCCUGCUGACAGUAGUGGCAUUACACCUAAAGGAUUAGGACCUUGACAUUUUUGAAGAAUACAGACCAGUUAUUUUUUCGAAUACCCUUAAAUUUGAAUUUUCUAUUUGUUCAUGAUGAUGCAGGUUUUUCAUUUUUACAAGAAAUAACACAGAAGUCAUAUUGUCUGUCUCCUUGUAUUAUGUCAAGGAGACACAUGAUGUUGAGUUGUGCUUUUACAAGUGAUGUCAACUUUAAACAUUUGAUUAAGGUAUUAUCUUCCAGGUUUCUUCAUUAUAAAAAUCACUUCUUUCUCUUUGGUAGUUAAGAAGUAUUUGAUGGAGAAAUACAUUGAAACUAUAUAAAUAUCCUGUUCCUCAACAAAGUUUCACCUGCCUGUUUUAGUGUGCUGAUGAUUCUUACUAAAAAUUAUCUUUAUUAUGAUGACUGACAAAUGAUGUUUUCUAAGACAUUGAUUAAGUUGGCAUAUCUACUGUAAGGAAGAACUUGUUUUACUACUCCACUCUAUCUGUCUAUCUAUAUCUAUCUAUCGAUCUGUCUGUUUAUUGAUCUAUCUGUCUAUCAUCUUUUAUAUCAGUAUGGACUCAUGUAUUCAAUGUGUUAUAUCAACAGUUGGCAUACUUUCUUUGCAAAGGGCCAGGUAGUGUUUUAGGCUUACGGAGCCAUAAGGUCUCUGUUGCACAUAGUCAGCUCUGACAUUGUAUUGCAGAAAUAACCACAGACUGUAUGUAAAUGAAUAGGUGUGGCUUGUUCUAGUGAAACGUACAAAAACAAGUGGCCUGAUUGGUUUAGUCCUAGGGCUGUGGUUUAUCUGUCUCCUGGGUUGUAUCAUUAUUUUGAUGCUCGAGAUUUGGCCAGUAGGACCCUUCACAUGGAUUAUGGGACAAAUGCCCAUAAGUUUAUAAUACUUUCUUACUUUCUGAAACAAGAUGUUUUUGACUUUUCUUACACUUUCCUUAUCCCAGCCCUGAAAUUAGCCAUUUUUCCAAGAAGCCCUGGUUUGCUUGGUGGAUAUGGUUUUUAGAAACCAAGAUCUGGAUGUGAGGUGUGCUUCUUGGUUUUUGAAUGUCAUUGCUUCUACAUUCUCUUAGUGGACAGAUCUAGGAAAUGAUGUUUGAAUCUAUGUAUAUAGGUACAUCUCAACUGAUUUAUCUAUAUUAAAACCAUGAGUUCACAGCAGUACCUUCAAUUCCAGUCACAUGGCUCGACCUAGCCUCAAACUUCUUAAAUGUGUAGCUUUCUUCUUCAAUAGUGAGAAGUCUUGCUCCUAUUGUCUUUAAUAUAUUUAUAUGUUUUCUUAUUCUACUUUACAAAACCAAUAUUUUGAUACACAUGCCAUAACCUUCUCAGCUUUAACAUUGCUAGUCAUCUCUAAUCAUACCCUCAGAUUUGACUCUGAAUGGUCCUUGUUGUCUCUUCAGCCCCAGUUGUUUCUUUGGCACUGGCCAUCCUCCUGACCUCUACUGUCUCCUUGGCCCUCACCCUGAAAGUCCUUCCAGACUCACUUGCCUCUGGCUCUAUAAGAUCCUGGGUAUCACCAGGGCCUCUGCUCCCUCCAUAGAACCCGUGUCCCUGAGGCCUCACUGGCUCUAGCUACAUCAAAGAGAGGGAAAGGAAGAGAACCAGUAGUACAUAUAUUUUAAGUGAAAGUGACAGGAAAGUGGAAUGAGCACUUAUUUUUCUUUAUCAUUUAAAUUAUUACUUUAACAUUUUAAUACUUUGAAAUUAAUUUUGUUAUAUAGUAGAAUGUAAGGUUCUGACUUGAAGUGUAUCAUUUUCUAAAUGACAGCAUUUUUCAAUACCAUUUUAAACAAAUGCUUUCUUUUAAGGACACUCUAAAGAUAAUGUGCACUACACUAGUUUUCGUAGAACUGUUCAUGUGUAGGCACUCACCUUGAGAAGUAGGAUUUUUUUUUUACUUAACGCUUUUGUCUCAAAUUAUUAUUAUAUAUAGUUAACUGUAAAAACAUUGAGAUAUAUUAAAAAUAUUAUAGGACAGGUAAUACAUAUUCAUGGUAGCAAGUGAAAUAAUACAAAGGUUUAUGAAUAAAAAGUUACUACUCUCCUAGGUAGCCAAUGUUACCAGUCUUGCAUAUCCUUCUGCUGCUUUUUCUCUGCUCAUACAAACAUGAACUUACUCAUGCAUACACAUAGGUGUUUCAAAGUUUUAUUCUGAAUACAUCACGAACACAAAGUGGUAUAAUUACAUAUAUCAAUGUAAUAUAUAAACAUGUUAUAAAUAUGAAUAUAAAUGUAAAAUGAACCCUAUUUAAACAUCAGUAAGCCUAAGACACAGAACAUUACCAAUGAGCCUGAAUAUUCUCAUGCGUGGCCACAUCUCUUUUCUAUUCCCCGUCAUAGAAAUCACUCCAUCCCAAAUUUUACGUUAUUUCUUUUCUUUACUUGGGUGCUUAUUAUUUUUUACUAUGCUUUACUCUUUUGCUAUUUAUGUAUGUAUUAUUAAUUUAUUGUUUAGCUUCUAUAUUUUACAUAAAUAGUAUUAUUUUGGGAUUUGUUUUUUCAUUGAGUUUCAUAUUUGUUAGAUAAAUCGGUUUGUAUUUUAUUUUGCAGAAAUGGAUUUAUAUCAUACACAAAGCACACAAAUAUAUAUAUUUCUUUGCAA